ACGGCUCGGAUGGGCGCCUUGUCUGCGUCGUCGCACUAGGAGCACGUCCAAGCCACCCCCCCGCCCAACCGGGAAAAUGAGCUGUUUUCCCAAUCGCGAAACAUUCCCCCACUCCGCUUUCCCAACCACCAACAAAAUUUAUCCCUGAGAGCGAUUUUGAGGAGUGUCUUGACCUCAUCCAUCGAAGGAUGACAGUGGCUACACAAUGACAUUGUUUUACUCAAAAGAUGUGUUAUCCGCGUGUUUCACCGCAGGAAAACAAACAGCUACUGGCUUGAGAGUUGUCGAGUGGGUGUUGUUGACCGAAGGGGACUGAGGCGUAGCAUUGGCCCUAGGUGUCCCAAAUGAGAUUAUUUGAAACCAGAAGCAGAUGUCUUCAUCAAACACGAAGUGCUAAAGAUUUCAGCAAAAACAGACGGAGUUUUCCUUGGGUAAAGAUCUCAGAAACAAGCCCAUCUUUCCAAGAACCGGAAUUGCAAGAAUCCAGGAUGGGUUACCUGGCUCCUUUGGCUAACGUAUCACAACAGGCUGCAGGCAUCUCAGGGUUCCACGAGGAAGGAUCAACCUCCAAGCCUACUCAGUCAACCACGAAUACCGGUGCAGGCCAAGGAACCCGGAGUCUCACGUGCGACGGAAAUAGGCAGCUGUACACAUUUCCGCAGGAAAACAUUGAAAGCAAAAAUUGUGAUCACACCCAAUCUUUUCCUCUGUACCCUGCCCAAAGUCGCCCACGUCCCCAAAAGGAAGAGAACAGUAGGUC
ensembl:lncRNA